GACGAACGCUGGCGGCGUGCCUAACACAUGCAAGUCGAACGGAGUUGACCCUUCGGGGUUAACUUAGUGGCGAACGGGUGAGUAACGCGUGAGAAACCUGCCUUUCAGUGGGGGACAACAGUUGGAAACGACUGCUAAUACCGCAUAAUGUCAUUUGGGGGCAUCCCCGGAUGACCAAAGAUUUAUUGCUGAAAGAUGGUCUCGCGUCUGAUUAGCUAGAUGGCGGGGUAACGGCCCACCAUGGCGACGAUCAGUAGCCGGUCUGAGAGGAUGAACGGCCACAUUGGGACUGAGAUACGGCCCAGACUCCUACGGGAGGCAGCAGUGGGGAAUAUUGGGCAAUGGGGGAAACCCUGACCCAGCAACGCCGCGUGAAGGAAGAAGGCCUUCGGGUUGUAAACUUCUUUUACCAGGGACGAACACAAUGACGGUACCUGGAGAAAAAGCAACGGCUAACUACGUGCCAGCAGCCGCCGUAAGAC
rnacentral:rRNA from 1 species